UCUCUGUGUCUGUGUCUGUGUGUGUCUCUGUCUCUGUCUCUGUGUGUGUGUCUGUGUGUGUGUGUGUGUGUGUGCGUGUGCGUGUGCGUGUGCGUGUGUUGUGUGUGAUUAGUGCUAUAAAUGAAUGACGUAUAAAUAUGUCUGAUUAAUAUACACCUAUUAUAAUUAUAGCUUGGCAAUCCGUCAUCAUCGUUUGUGGUCAUACCUAUUAUUACCAUUGUAGUUGUGUUGUUGUCAUUGUAAAAGAUUAGUGGGUGUAACAAAAAUAAUGUGUAACAAAUUUGUUAUAGCAAAUAUGGGUGGUUUUUACAACAAAUUUUAAGAAAACAUACAAUUUUAAAAUAUUUACAUUAACACUAAUGAUAAUUGAUUAAUGACCAUUAGGCAGAAAUCGAAUAAAUUUGGAUUAAACGACAUUUUGAAUUUAUCUAGAAUGUUGACGUCUGCCUCUAUGUCGUAAUCAAAGAAAGAAUAUUAUAUACGUGUAAGCAAUUUGUUACAAUAUUCUAACAUUGCUAACAUUCUAUAUAAAGGGAAUGUGUAAGGCGAAAAUUCAAUUGUCCGUAAUUCUUUUGCAUAUACGUAUACGUAAUUCAUAAUACAUUACUGUUGUCGAAUGCGAAUACGUGUACGUAAACGCAUUAAUGGAAUCUACUCAAACCUAUUGGUAUUGAAAGUUAUCGUUACGGAUUAUGUAUCACAGAUACAUGCGUAAUUAAUAAUGCAUAGAAUGGCAUAUUUCAUUAUACUUGUUUUGAUGCCUGAUUGAAUUUGAAAUUUUGACUUUUGAAACUGACUUUGUAUGCUUUUUAAGACAUUCACAUUAGGAAGUAAAGUAAUACAGUUUUUUUAGGAGGCAGGAGGAGCUGCGUUAAUAGCAUGCAUAACAAAUUCCUUAAUUAACCAAUUAUGAAUUAGCGAAGUUCAAAUACUUUUUGUGUCAGACAUUAAUAGAAAUCAUAUAUACCAACUUAACAGAAUCAAUGCAAUAUUUUAUCAAAGUAUUCGAGAAAACUUUGAUUAACCAAUGUUUUUUCAUAACCAAGAAACCUGUUUGAAAUCUAGAUUAGCUAACUUACUUUUGUCAUUCAUCUUUUGUCUUCUAUUGGCGUUUUAGUUUUAGUGUAGUCUGGAAAUUAUUUUUUGCAGUUGGAUCGAAAUAAAAUUUCAGACAUUUCAUCAGUAUAAUUUUAAUGAACACGUCAUAUCGUACCUAGAUAUAUAAUAUUUUAAAAGUAGGUUCUUCAUCAUUAAACUUUAGUUAGAAUUGCCAGUCAUGAAUGUUAAAGGUGUAUUCGUGACUUUACAGACAUUUUGUCAUGCUCCCGGCUAACAAAGGUUUUUUUUAAUGAAGAUUAAUAUCUUAUAAUUAAACUGGUUUAUUUUAGUAUUUUCACAGGGGUGCUGUGACAGGGCAAUGCUGUUACUCCCAGCUUUUCUCUGUGUUACAUUUGUACAUCGUUCUGUAUAAACUUUCUUUCGCCGCUUUUUAAAAUUCCCUCCCACCCCACCUAUUACUGGUGUUUUGAUAAAUAUUGUAGUUAUAAACACAUUUGUAUAUGGAAGAUAUGCUUUAUAAUGUAUAGCAAAUACUGUAAUUUUUUCAAGUAACUUUUUAUGAGAUGUAGAUAAUAGCAUGCUUGUUAUAUUGUUAUACAGUAUAAUAUUUAAUUAUGAAUGUGUGUCCAUAGCAUCAAUUGUUAUUCUUAAUUCUUAAUUAUUAGCGUGCUGCCGUAGAGCUUUUCCUUUGCUUUCUUAGAGAUAAAUUGUGUGGAUACUGAACAGUAAUUGUGUGCUGGACAUCAUGAACACGUGUGGCAAUCGGACUAGUAUGAUUGUGCACGACAGGUUGCUUAAACAUUGACUGAAUAUAUCCAACUGAUGAUGCGGAACAUUCUGUCAUCGCGGAUCGGAGUUGAUGUGUAUGAAAUAUGGAGGGCAGGCUGGUAUCGUACAUACAUAUUACAGUGUUUAAUGUACAUGUAUGAUGAUAUGGUUGCUUUCAGGAUGAGGUUACUCUGAAAAGCUGGUGUUUUGAACAUUUAUACCGGGUAGUUCUUACCCAAUCCAUCAAACCCUCCGAAGGGCUAAACCAAGGGGGGCAACCUCGGGAGACCAACCACGACGACCCCCAACAGGCAAGAUUCCAGUAAGAUCUGCAAUUCGGGAAACUAAGUCAAAAUUACUCAAGUAGCUCCUUAAUUUUAUUUUCGGUGAACCGUUCCAAAUCAUGCACCAAAUUACCUCAAGAAAACUGCGCGAUGUCUUUAUAUUGUUGACUUAAUCCUACAGGACAUUCAAAAUUCAAUAGCACCACAAGUUCCCCCGCCCGCUACAGAACCUGGUCGGGCUGUUGGUGGCAAGCGCUAGUCCCUCCUCCGACCUUCCUCAAACCCUUUCCUGUCCUGGACCGAGAAGCCGGCGCAAGUCGACACCAGCGCCCAUGACAGGUGUGUGCUACAAUAGCUUAUUCUGAUUGUACACGUUAAGCCCUUUGGCCUGACCUGAUCUCACCUGGUAGUGCUUCCUGUGCUCUGCUAUGGUUGUACCCUUGGGGGCUGAAACUUGUUACGGUCUACCCUACGAGUUUCGGGAUGGAAUGCACGUAUGUGGUAUAGUUGAGUGGUAUGGUAUGGUAUGGUAUUGUAUGGUAUUAACAUGUACAUUCAGAGCACCCUGUUUUAGCGCACGCUUGUUAUGGGCACAGGACAGGAAAGGGAUGGGAUGGGAUGGGAUGUGUGGGAGAAGGGACCGUCUGCACUGGCAGGUGCAAGAGAGCACGAACAGCCCGACCGGGGUCGGUAACAGGACCACAGGCGCUAUGGAAUUUGGAAUGUCCUAAAGGGAAAAAUAGUUGUGUGGGUUCUAAGGUCUUUUAUGUACUACAUGUGUAUGGCAUACUCUGCUAUGGUUUCCCCUAGGUAGUAGUUUGGAUGUUAUUGUGUCCGGUACCGUUGAAGGUCGAUACUCAGCACUGGUAAACCACUUAUACAUGUGCAUAUUUGAAGGCUGUCCUGCUAUGGGUUACUUUAGAGGGCAGUUCGCUUGUUAGAUUUAUAUUAUGCCUGCUCACCAUAUCGGUUUAUUAGUAUUACUUUGUAAUAAAGAUCUGUGGCAUUUUAAUCCAA